UAUCAUUAUCCUCAUUUUACAGAUGAAGACAAGGGUACUCAGAGAGGCUAAGUAACUUGCCCAAGGUCACACAGAAUUCAGAAUCUACAUCCAGGGCUGAGUCUAUAGCUAGAACUUUUAACCACUCCAUUCUUGGGGGCAUCUUACUGUUGCCAGGACAUUACCAAAAGAAACAUUUGGCAGAUAGGGAAUUAGAUUUUCUUCCCCUACCCCCAAUCCUAUAACUGCGAGAAAAUAAGAACCCUUCCCCUGAACAUCUGUUUUAUCAGCCAGAUUCAAACCACGCUGUUGCCACUUCCUCACUAAACUGUGUACAGUUGGCCUGUCCGCAUCCAAGACCAUGAGUUCAGGGUGGACAUGUACUGUCAGGCUUCAGCAUGAAUCACCUCCUGCCGGCUUCCUGUGGCAGGGUGCACUGCUUAUUCAUGCAGAGGACCCCUCCCUAUUUGCCAGGAGAAUCUAUCCUGAGAUCACCCUUUCAGCUACUGACUCCCCUCUGCAACCUGUCUAAGCAGGAGGCAUCUUCCAGGGAUGACCCUGGGAAUCACGCUUAGCCGAAUUCAGGAUCCUGUUUUCUAGAAACUGACCUUUUAGAAACAGCUUCAGACAUGGAAGGAGCUCAACAAACUGAGUGUAUGGAUACCUAGAGCACUGUAUGGAGGAUGCUGUGGCCAGUUAUGCGCUAGAUGGCAAAUGGACUGCCUGGAUCAGCUAGUAAUGUCUGCUACAAUUGCAGGACAAUGGAAGGAUGCAGACUCUCUUACUUGCUAACCUGGGCCUAGGAUCUCAAGAGACAGCUCAAGACAUAACUUGUUAAACUUCAAUAUACCCAAGGAUCACCAGGAAAUUGUACUAAAACACAGAUUCUGAUCCAGAAGGUCUAGAGAUGUGGCAUAUCUGACAAGUUCUCAGAAGAUGCUGACUUGCUGCUAGACUACCAACCACACUUGGGAGUGAAAGGGGCUCAAAUGUUUCACCAGCCAGAAUCCUUUCCCCAGCUCCCUGAGAACAUCGCCACCACACAGAGCCCCUGCCAGGUGAAAUCCAGCUGGACGGGAUGUCCCGAGACAGUAAAUACGACUGUUUGUUAGUUGCACCACUAAAGGACACGAGGUCUGCUGCUAGGGCAGGCUCCUGCUGAUGAAGCUUCUCCACCCUUCGCCUUAGUGUCCCAUCCCAAACCACACUCUUCCAUUUAACCAGAGGUCCUCCUACCAACGAGUGCAACGGCAACCCCGGUCUAGAGGAAAGAGAGAGCAUGGGAGGGCUGACAAUGUCUCAGGGCAAAGUGGGUCAACAGCAAAAGAGUGAGGGUCAGAAAGAGUCCUUCAGUUCCUACCUGCUCCUAUCUUUCCCAUGUCUAGGACAUUCAGGUAGCCUUCAGAGUGACUUGGUAUAAAAAGGUGGGCAAGGAGUAAGCUUUUAUAGUCUCCCUUGCAGAGAUUAGAAGCAAUUCAGAGGCCUCCAGUCCUUGCAAAUAAGGAGAACAAAGGUAGGGAGGGAAAGAGAGACUAAGGGGACAAAGGGCAUUCUCACACUUACUGUGCUAUCCUGGGCUUACUGCUCUAUGGGCCUGUGUCCUCCAUUAGACAGCGACCACCUUGGAGGAACAACUACAUGUGAGCCAUUCCUGAAUUCCCAGUAUCUAGCAAAAUGUAUGACUUCGAAUAAAGACUCAAUUGAUGUUUGUAGAUAAAGGGGAAAGAGUUUUAAAAUUGGACAUUAUCCUAUUCUGAAGAGCAGGUACUCCUAACAUUUCGGCAGCUGAGCUAACUCUGAGCUCCUGGGGUGGGAGGGAAUGAGACGUUCUUAAUACAUAUCAGACUCACCCAUAGAUCCCCUCUCCCUGGUGAUGUGCAAACAAUAGGGACAGGAGAUCUGGACCAUACAGCUGUGAGCUCCGGGAGGCCUGCCUAGUUUGAGAUUCAAGGUCAUCUAGGGAAAGAACAUAUGUAACUGCUAAUCUAAUAAAGGAUAUUUAGAUCAA